rnacentral:rRNA from 1 species
AUGGGCUCGGCUCGGUUCGGUGGGAAGAGGAAGGCCUGGCGCUGGCUUUGCGGUCCAGGAGGCUGGUUGGCGGAUCUGGGCCAUGCGACGAUAAGUCAACGCGGGCGCGGCUCCGUUGUUCUCGCAUGCGGAAGCAGGAAGGCCGGCGAGGGGCUUGGGCGCGAGGACUUGGGGCUCCGGCGAAAUGGGAAGUCCGGCAACGACGGGGAGGGUCGAGAUCCAACGGAUCCGAUGCGAAGGAGGUCGAGGAGGGCUGAGGCGAAGCACUGGCAUUCUCCUCUGCUCGAAACAGAGCAAGCAGCAACCGGCGAAGCAAGCUUCAUGCACAAGGGAGGAGCAGGCGGGGGGCCGGCAGGCACGGGACGCGGCGGGUCGACGUGGUUCACCGGGACGACAGCAGCAGGCGGCGGACUUGACGCGGAGGCUGAAGAUGGCGGGGUUGAGGAGGAGCGGAGGCGGCCUGCUCCGGGUGGCGGCUUGCGAGGACUAGGCGCGGGCAUCGUCAGGGACGCAGGGUCGCCGGGUAGCUGGGAAUGA